GUUACUCAGAAGCUGGAGUACAAAUAUGCUUUUCAAUUGCCUCCAGUAUUCUCCAUAUGGAGCAACUGACAAAUCCUUCAUGUCGUAAAGAAGCCGCCUGGAAACGCUAGAGUCAGGCCUGUCAGCGAAAAUGACAUCAUGGGUUUUCAUAAUUUCCCUGGCGGCGUCCGCCGAUGAAACGAUAAGCGUCGGAACAUUUCCAAAGUGGAGAAGCAUUAACGGGCCGUAUUUUUUGGACAUGGAUUGAAGGGAAUGGUGUGGGAGCGUGCCGAUUUGGUGGAGAUUUCCGAUAAUCGGGAGUUUCGGCGGCGAUGGCGGCAGAUUUUUGCUGUUUGUAGUGGCCGCCACCCUUUUGACGAAUUGCCAUACAAGAAAUAUACUGAUAAAAGUGAAUAUAAAUGGAUUUUGUAAAAGAAAUUCAGCCAUUUGGUGCUUAAAACUAAACAUACUUUCUGAUUGUCUGGACUCUGUUUUCUGUCCCUAAACUGGACGAGGCUCUUCUAUAUAUACAGACAGGAAUGUGCGUAAUGAGACUGCAUGCUUGCUUUGUAUACACUCUUACAAUAUUUUAACCUUUUUUUACACAAUUUUUCAAUUAAACAUUUAUCAAAAUCUAUUAAAAAAAUCUGGUUUUAAUUCAAACCAAACAAAGACUUAAUAUGCCUUUUAAACCUAUUUUAUUUAGAUUGUUUUGAUGUAAUUUUUUUUCUUUAAAAGUAAAAUUUGAAUAAUGUGCGAUUAAAACGAAAAAAAAGAAAAAAAAUUAUGAAUUUAUUGCAAAAUUAUUUUAUUGUGAGAAUGUGUCGUAAAAAAUGAUUAUUAAUUAUAAUAGGUGCCCAAUUUAACUUAUUCUAUUGGGGUCAAGCCCCCACUUAAAAAUGUCUACACGUAUUUAUGAAAAAAUUGUCGUUUGAUGUGUAUGUUAAGUGAUAAAAGAUGAAUAAAUAGAUAUUUGGGCUAAUAGUUUAAUUACACUCAGGCAUGACUUGUAAACAUCGAAGGACAAGUCUAUUUAUACAAUUAUUUUGUACAAUAUUAUUGACGGUGUUGAAGUUGUCAAAAAAAUAUUGGUCGAAAAGAUGAAUUAUUUUUAAAAUUGUCCAAUGUGGCAUAUUGUCAAUAAUGUUGUCAAAAUCAUUAUACAUCAAGCAUGAUUGAACAUCGAAUUGGUGAAUGGCAAUAGAAAUUAAUUUAUCUGAAAAAGUAAGAUCACUUAUUUUCAAUCACAUAUUUUUGUUAGAUUCCAUUUCUUCUACGAAAAUAUCUUUAUUAGAAAAUUCUCUUACAAAAGGAAGAAAAACUAUGUAAAUUAAUAUUUAUAUAACUUACAAUUUUUUCAAACUUUGUCCAACUAACUAUUUAAGAUUUCGAGUUAGUUCCUGUUCGGUUUUGUUAUUACAUUUUUAUUUGGUUUUGAUAAAGUUUGGACUUGUUAAAAUUAAUUUUUGACUUUAAUUUAAUUUUUUAUUAAUUUUCUAAAAGUAAAUUAAACAUGGACUUAUCAUAGAAAGAUAAGUUCAUUUAUUUAAAUUUCAUCAUCCACACGACCUCCUCUAUUAUUAUUAUUAUUAUUAUUACUACUACUGCUGCUGCUUAUGCUACUAUUAUCGUCGUUGUUAUUAUUAUUUGUAUCAAAGAUCUACACAAUUUUUAUAACAAGAAAAUGAUAUUAUGCUUAAUUCUAUUCUUUAAAAACUCAAAUUAUCAAGAACGAAAUCGUCCAAUUUCUUGAAAAGACAAUAUGUAAAAAGAAAGUAGCUAUAGCUUCUUAAGAGUCCAUUAUCAAUUAAUAUUUUCCUUAUUUAACCAAACUAUUAAUUCAUCCAGAAGUAAUGACGAAUGAAUGGAUAGUAACACGCAAAGAGUCCUCUACGUCUAUUACAAUGGAACUAGUCCAUACUUGAUUGCAUUUGAUUAAUAUUAAUAUUAAUAUUUUUAUUUUUAUCAUUAUCGGAUAAGUCGAAAUUGUGGUUUAAAAUCCAAGCUUCCCUACCUCUUCUAUUUAAAGAGUGUUUGUACAGCACCCUUUAAAUAAUGAUAAAAAUAAAAAAUAUUAAUAUUAAUAUUUUUAUCUUAUCGGAUAAGUCGAAAUUGUGGUUUAAAAUCCAAGCUUCCCUCCCUCUCCUACAGUCGAAAUUGUGUUGUACAAUGCUGACAGCCGCAGUAUGGGGAUUCGAUUCCUGAGACAUGAAAUUAGAUUCCUUGUAGGCGCGAUGUAUAUGCAGCUGUUGUUCCCUGACCUGUUGAGACACAUCCCGCGAUUUACCUCCCUCACAAAACUCUAGGGGCCGGAUGAUAAAGACCUUCAAAAUCGGAGUUCAACCUUUUUUUUUUUUUUUUUAAUGUGGUAUACAAUCCUUUCACAUGCGAGGGGCUAUCCACACCAACCUAAUUCAAUAAAAAUUCCACAUAUGGACAAAGAGUACCAUAAAUCAAGUAGGUGUGGGGCCAGCCUAAUUCAAUAAAAAUUCCACAUAUGGACAAACACUACCAUAAAUCAAGUAGGUGGGGGCCUGAGGGGGUUGGAAAACAAAUAGAAGAGACAUGGGAGUUACGACCUGACAUACAAAUUCAAGGAACAUAGACAAAAGGGGACCAAUUAUUUUAUCAGUAUUCUCAAGGAAAUAGGAUGUUGACUGAAUCACAAAUCCCCCAAUUGAUUUUAAGAAUUAAAAUUUAAUCACACGCUUUCUUGGUCGAUAUUUUUCUUGAAUCUUUUGCCUCUUAGUGUUUGUUCAUUUCUGUGUCCAGACGGCUCAACUUGCGUCUCAAUUGACUUGAUAGCGUCCCUCUUCGGGCAGCUGCUUCUUUAUUUGUCCGUCCGAACUUUUCUCCAAUGAACGGAAAUAAAAAAAGGAGAGGAAGAAAAAUGAAUCGAUUAAGAAACAUUAAAAACACGGACUAUAACAAGUUUGCCAUGCAUUUCAGAUUUUACAUUAAAAUGUUUCGAAUAUUGUAUGAAUCCUUCAAACGUGGAGUGUAGAUGUUAGUUCACAUUUACAUCUAGCCCAUGUUUUGACCCUUUUUUUCUCAAAUCUUAUACAUUUUAUGAAAUCUAUAAGACUAUAACUAUAAUCAACUUCUCAAUCAUACAUUUUAUCAUUUUUAUUAAAAAUUUGAUUUUAUUUUAUCCAAACUCGUUAAGUUCGCAAUAAGUUGGGUCAUUCUCGUCUCACCUUUCUAUCCUUAAUUUGAACUUACAAGACAGGUCCAUGGCCACCUCUAUUAGCUUACUCCCUGCCCAGAAUCAUUAAGAGCUGGUUUUGCUGAUUCAUUUUCUUUAAGUUACUUAUUUUACAUAGCCUGGUUAGUACACAUACGAUCAAUUAUCGACGAGCCGUUAUAUCCCAAAGUAUGAUUUCUUGGGGUGGAAUUUGUGAUGUCAUUUUAUAGAACUUAUCAUUUUUUUAAUUUAUUCUUUAAUCGAGUGUGAGAGGUUAUCUUUUGAUUUACCACAAGCAGAAGAGUAUUUGAUAGCAUAUUAUCAAACUAACAACACCUCAACACAAACUAAUAUUGCCCAAAUCACCCCUCGGGAUAUAAUCCAGUGGUGUAAAAAAUAGGAGUGAGAUAGUCUCAACCUUGUUGGCAGCAACAGUGUGAGGGUUCGAUUCCUGAGAUACGGAAUUAGACUCUUUGUGAGCACCAGUGUACGGACAAGCUCUUAUUCCCUGACCUGUUGGGGCACAUUCCGAAAUUUAUCUCUCUCACGAUACUCCAAGAGUGGGACGGUGGAGGCCCUCAAGGUUGGAGUUCAACCUUUAAUAUUGUCCAAAUCAAGAGGGAAGGGAAAGUAAACAUGCUAUGCCUCAUCCUACGAAACUCUUUUUAUUUACUGUGUGGAAUUCAUUUAGGAAAAAACAAAAGGUCACUUAAGGGUCGGACUCCAAAUCACUUUGCUUACAUGGCCUAAUUAACUGAGACUAUCAAGAAAGGGGGAAGGGAAGUGAACUGUCCCUCAGCUAUAUAACCUCCAUGUCCGAAACGAAGCGCCACGCACUGUUGCAACACAUUUUCAAAGUAAAGUGCCUUUCGUUCCAAAAGGCAUCUUCCAUUGCUUCGUUCAAAAGAUCUUUCAUACAAGAAUUUUUGUACAAUUGAUUAUCGAUUGAUUUGACAUCUCUGCACAGACGUUUCUAAAUGAACUUUUCAGCCUACUUUUUAGAUGAUAGAUCUAGACUAUAAGGUGACCACUUUUAAGAUCAUCUAAUUCACUUCAACCAUAGGACAUUAGAGGUGACGAUUGUGAGGCUGAUGCAUCGAUCACCAAGACGAGAACAUUUAUCAUUCAUCCAAUGAUAUUGAUAUCUCAUUUUCUAAUAUAAAGCUCACAAUUGGUAUCAUGUGAUUUACAUGUGAUACUAAUUUACACCCUCCACAUUGACUUAGCUUGGUAAUAUUAUUUCUCUUAAAAUUUGAUUAUUGUACACAUGUGAGUCCAUCCUACGUCCAAAUAUAUCCAUAUAGUUGACUAACUUGAUAUCGUAGUGUCCGUGAUCGUAUAACCCACUACUAGAGAAGGACACACGCACUUAACGACAUGUCCAAGUAUGCAGGAGUUUGACACAUUUACAAGAAUGAAAUCGAGAUUUAUUGACCACGCUGACCAAAAAAAAUCGAGGUCAACAAAACAUAUAUCCGCAUAAUGUCUUUUUGAGCCCUAUUUUUUAGCAAAGAAUGCAUUUUAGAAUAGUAAAUUUAUAGAUAAUGUGCAGUUAAAAAAUUAAAAUUUUUUUUACGUGUAAUAUUAUUUUAUUAAAAAAUAUAUGGUUGAAAAGAAGAGAUAGAAAUAUUUAUUUUAAAAAUAAUGGCUAAUAUUGUCUAAAAGUCUCAUGUGUAAAGUGUGUGCCCAUUUGCCUUGAUUUUUCUAUGCAUUUUAGUGAUUGCCUUGGUUUUUUGGACUAUUAUUCUUAAAUUAUUUUUCACUUUAUCGAACUAUCAUAUUUUCGUAUUUUUUAUUAUUCAAUAAACUUUUUAAUUAUGAUUUAUGCACAUUUCAAAAACAAAAAAAAAACAAGUUUCAAAUAUAAAAAAUCAGAUUUUAUUAAAAAUUAUUUAUAAAUUAAUUAACUAAUUAAUUAUUUUAGUAGUUAAAUAUAUUUAAGUCACAGAUUUAUAUAAUUUGGUCAUAAAUUAACGAUUUAAUUCGUCAAUUAUUAUUUUUUGGUUACAAAUCAGAAAUUUUAUUUCACAAAUUAUUUUGCGGUCACAAUUCAAAAAUUUUAUAGGUCACAGUUUAUUCAUCGGUCACAAAUCGAAAAAUUUAUAAAUUGCGAUUUAUUUAUUGGUCACAAAUCACAUAUAUUACAAGUCACAACUUAUUACACAAUCACAAAUUAUCAAAUUAUUGAUCAAAUUUUUUAGGUCACACAUUAUUUUUCGAUCACAAUUUAUAUUUUUCAUUGGUCCCAUAUUAUUUAUUGACCACAGAUUAACCAAUUUAAUGGUUACAGAAAACCAAAUAAUUUGUAACCACCACCAACACUUAUGAUUCUCAGUCACAAUUUUUAGGUCACGUAUCCAAUUAUGAAUCACAGACACGAUUUUCGGGUCAUGUAUCCAAUUAUGAGUCACAAUUGAGAGUUCGGUCACAGUAACAAUUUUCAUCGUCACUACUAUCGCCGCCACACAUCAAUACCACAGUUAGGAGUCACAGUCACAGUCCACAACUACCCCAGCCACCCCAAAUCAUCACCACCACCGUAGUCGCCACACACCAACACCACACUUUUCCAUAUCCAUCACUCUUCCACGGAUAGCCAACAGAUCCACAACACUACACACCUCUACUAGAUCGUCGCCACAUACCAUCACUAUCACCAUUGCCGUCGCCACCACCACCAUUUGCACCACCACCACCACCACCACCACCACCAUCACACUACCAUUUGUAAAACCAUAUCCACCUACACCCAACCAAUCAGGAACUCGCCAUCGGUCACUCCAUUCCACUGCCAACAUUCUUCACCUCGUCGACAUCCGCUCCUACACAGAUGUAUCAUCCUCAUCAACAAUCCCAUCAACACACCUCGCUGGCCUUCUGCUCCAAUAUUCUUCAAAUCGUCGGCAGCCACUUGCCAACCAACCACCACACAACGUUGCCACUAGAUCUACCACAACCUGCACGGACCAACUAUAGAGCAACCAUCAUCACUAACUUGGCCAAAUCCGCUCUUGACAUUCCCAUCGUGAGUUGCGAUGGCACGGCAGCGGUGAUGCCGCUUCACAUCAUGCGCUGCUACUCGCCGUCGCAGGGCUCACACAAGAGGAGUUUUUGCAGCAGCAUCUUCGAUGGCGACGAUUUGACGAUAGAGACGAGUGGUGGAGAGUGAUGGGAGAGGAGAGAAUGAUUUGGCCGGCUGCCGAUGUUUGAAAAUGAGAGAGGAAGAGAGAGGGGCGAGUAGACGACUGUAGAGAGAGAGAGGGAGAAAUGAAAAUAAAUUAGGGUGGGAUAAUUUUGUAUUAUAAUAUUUAAUUUAAUGUUAAUUUUUUAAAUAUAUUAAUUAAUUAAAAAAAUUCUGAUUUGUAAAAUACUAAACAUAACAUCUUAUUUAUGAAAUGAAAUUUUUUAAUCUGUUAGAAUUUGUAAUUUCCACUUGGUAAAAUGCUUCUCUACUGAAUUUAGGCUUUUCGAAAAAUUGAAUAUAAUUAUUUAAUACUUUUAUUUCGCAGCCAUUUAUCAAUUAAACUUUACCAUAAAUAAAAAUCUCUUGGUUUAGCCUCCAUGCAAUUCAAUUUAUUGAAAACCUACAUACAAUUGUCAUCUUUCAAAAACUCACAUACUAAACCAACACUUUCCGGAUCGAGUUAAGUAGUAGCUGUAAAAGAAGCAACUCUAUGCAAUAUUACGUGUGAAUAUGGUACAUUAUCACAUUGCUCCAAGUAAAUCCACAAGUUGGAAUGGUUGUUAACAAAUUUUAAAGUUCAUAAAUUUGUCUCGUCUAUAAUGACUUAAGCUUUACAAUACGGUAGACGACUACUAAUCACCUCUUAUCAGGGUUAUUUGGUGGUGUUGUUACAAAAGUACUUAUAUGAGUGAUGAUCAUCAUGUGUCCAUGCCAUUUUAAAUUAAUAACAUUAUUAUUAUUAUUUUAUACAUGUGUGUUGGUCUAUUAAUGAGCACUAUUUAUUUUAUGAAUCUUCGCAAAAGCUCUGCUACCUAUGCUUAUCCAUAGAGGAAGUUUGACAGUGUCAGCCGAUUUGAAUUUCUAAAAUUCAAGUGGACUUGUACAGAUUAUCUAUACAAGGAGAAUAAUUCGCCUUCACAAUUAGAUAGCAGUACUAAGCGGUGAUGAUAAGUGCAAUUUGUGUAUUUAUUUAGGCCGUAUUAUUAAGUUUAUAUGUCGUCAAUUUAUUAAUUUCUAUUUAACUUGGGUAAAUUUUAUUUUGAUUUUAGUGACGAACCCGUUUGAAGCAAGUGAAAAGGAAGAAGGACAUAAUCGAUUAAAAUUUAUGAUUUGGGAUUAAAUUUCACAAGUUGAAGUUGAGAAGGACAUUGACCACACAAAUAAAAUUGUAUCGAGGAUUAACUUGCAUUGCAUGGAAGAAUUAAGGACCCCAAAGCAAAUACCAAUCUAAUUGGGCCCUUUUUGACUUGUAAUGGGUAAUUGGAAUUUAAUGGGAAUAGGGAUUCCUGGAAAGAGGUGCUGCGGCCGUAGUGUGUGUGUGUGUCUAUAUAUAUAUAUAUAUAUAUAUAUAUAGACACACACACACACAGAGGAGAAGAGAAAGAGGUCGGCAGGAACAGGAGAAAUUUGGACUGCCAAUUGGUUGAAAAUAUACAAACAUUGAGGUUGCUUGGGCUGAUUUUCAUACAUACAACACAUACAAUUCGGCAGUGAAAAGGAGAUACAGGGAUAUACCGGCACUGGAGGCUAAUUUAUAUAUAUUUUUACACGCCAAUUAGGGAAGAAAUUGGAGAGUUGCUUGGGGGAAUAGGGGGCUGAAUUUAUAUAUCUUCUUGCAGAGAAAAAAGACGGCAAUUGGUGGAGUGAUACAGAGAAAAAAAAGGCAGCUGAAAUUGGGCUACCUUGUUGAAUUUAUAUAUAUUAACAUCACAGUACUGGAGAGAAAAGGUGGCUGAAAUUGAUAGAAAUUGGAGUCAAACAUUGAGGUUGCUAGGGGUUGAAUUUGGAAUCAUUUUGGAACUAAAAAGUGAGCGGCAGCUUGUAGAUACACACCGAGAACGGCGACCGCAAUUUUGAUAAUAUAUAUAUUAAUCAUGUUUUGUCAAUUUCUCGAUCACGUCGUCUAAAGUUUCUUUGUUUAAUUCCGAUUUUAUGCAAGGCUAAAUUCCUCUCAUAUAUUGGAUGAAGAUGAAACCCAUUAUCAUUGAUUUUUAAUUCGAGUUACAUGGCUUAGUUGAAUUCUUGCAAUUAUUGAUUAAUCUUGUAUGCUUAAUUUCAUUAUUUGAUUGAUUGAUCACAAAUUAAAUAUAUAGUUGCUUGUUGUAGUGUUGGGAAGCUCACAAUAAGUUUAAAAUACGACAUAAUUAACAUAUGUGCAAUAAAUUUUAGGAAUAAGAUUUAUCAUGUGUGCAAUCUUUGAAAUGAUUGUGAAAUUGAAUAUGUUCUAUUCAUAUGAAUUCGGACUACGAAUAGGAUCGGGUCAUGAAUAUGAUAGAUUUAAUUUGUCUUGAAAAAGGAAAAUUAAUUACAAUAGAAUUAUCGAUUGUCUAGAAUGCAAGAGCGAAACUAGUUACGUAAUCGAGAAUUGGAACAGAUAAAAUAGGUGGAUUCGUAAUCCAAUACACUUUUUCCAUAUACAUUUUAAGUUCGUAUUUUACAUGUUUUCGUAGAUUAAAUUAAAAUAAUUAAAAUUCAAAAAAAUCACUUUUAAUUUGUUCGCUUUGAAUCUAAUUAAGACUAGUACACUCAAUUAAAUUUUAUUCCUCGUGUGACGAUACUCUAACUCAUCACAGUUAUUACUUGUACAACGAACCCGUACGCUUGUGGAAUUUUGACAAACAUAUUUUUGAUGCCAUUGUCGGGAUUAAUUUAUUUAAUUUGAGUUUAUUAGUUAUUUUUAGAUUUGAAGUCUUUAUUCCUUUUUCUUUUUUCUUUACUUUACUUGUUUCAAGUUAUUCAUUGGACGAUCUAAGUCUCUCGUUUUACUUUUUUCAGGAAAUCACAGUUUACGCAAAAUUCUGACGAGAUAGAGCUUCUUCCAAUAGAUCCCGAAAUCGAAAGAACUUUCAAACAGCAAAGAGAGAGCAGAGACAAGCGAGAGCUAUGGCAAAAAACCAACAUUAGAAUCAAGCUCAGAACCAUUUGCCACUACCUCCCAAUUCAGCCAGAUCAGCCGAGAACAGUAGCAAAUCAUUGAGAAUUUUUAGUGAGAGAUUUUGUAAAUCCAGUUCCAGCAUCGAUUCAACCUCUGAUUAUCUAUCCGUCGUUUGGACAAGCUAACUUCCACAUCCGACCAGAUGUCAUAAACCUCUUUCAAAAUCAUCAAGACAUCAUGUUCAGCAGGAAAGCUACUAAAAAUCCACAUGAACACAUCCAAGUUUUUACCAUGUUGUGUGAUGUAAUUAGCCAUGAGGAGAUGUCACGGGAUGCAUUUUGAAUGCGUCUAUUUCCUCACACUUUUAAGGAAGGUGCGAAAAUAUAGAUAAUGUCACAACCUCUUGAGAGCAUUGUAUCGUGGAAUGACAUGAUUAAAAAAUUUACCAUGAAGUUUUUUCCGCCAACUCGAGUUCAUCAAAUUUGGAAUGAAAUCCAUACAUUUAAACAGAAAGGCCUUGAGAGCUAUCCAGAGUCAUUGGAAAGGUAUAAGAACUUAUUGAGGAAGUGCCCCAAUCUUGACAUUCCUAAACAAGCACAAAUAUACAUCUUUUACUAUGGAAUACGCCAAGAAUUCAAGAAUAUGGUAGAUGCUUCAGCGGGAGGAUCGAUAAUGGCUAUAAACGUGGACGAUGCUUAUGAGCUGUAUGAGAGGAUAGUAGAAAAUCAAUCGAUGUGGCCAAGCAACGGGAAAGUCCUAAGGAAAAUAACUGGCACAUAUAAUGUGGAUGCAGUAACAGUAUUGAUAGUAAAAGCUUGACUCUUUGACCCAUUCUGUGAAUAUGGUACAAACUCCAGCUCCGAAGUGUGCAGGUUGUGGGGCGGAUCACAUUACUACAAGUUGCCCUUUGGCUUCUACUCACAUAGGUCAGCCAGCAGAGGUCAGUUAUGCGCAGAACUAUCAGAAGCAAAAUGGACCUUACCCAUACAACUACCAUCCAAGUUUGAACAAGCGUCCUAACUAUACGUGGGUUGAUAAUUCAGAUCAAGUAAAUCAGAUGAGGGGCAAUCCACCAGCAAUUCAACAACAAGAAGAAAAGAGGCAAUCAUUAGAAGAUUUCCUUGUCAAGUACGUCACCAAGACUGAGACGGUGAUACAGAAUUAGCAAGCCUCUAUACAUAACUUAGAGAAAUAGGUGGGACAGAUAGCAGCUGCAUUAGCUAACAGAGCACAAGGUACUCUACCGAGCGAUACAGAAAAGAAUCCAAAGAAGCAGGUCUUAGCUGUUGAAGUUGCAAAUUAUGCAACUAUCGAGACACCAUCGAUCAAGCCUGCUACACCUGUUCAAGCUUAUGUGCCGCCUAUUCCAUUCCCUCAAAGGCUUCAAAGACAACCUAAAAAUGAUCAAGUCCAGGCUAUCACAAUGAGAAGCGGAGUUCAGCUGUCAGAAAUCACAGUGAAGAAGAAGGGGACUGAGGAGAAUUGAAUAGCUACCUCGAGGAAAGAACAAGUGGAUCAAUCUGAAAAAUCACCAAAUGUCAAUCAAGAAGAACAGUCAGAUAAUCCAUAGGCCAAGACAACCGUUCUUAGCAAUAAAAAACACCUUUAGUUCCACUCCCUCAAAGGUUGCAGAACAAUAAAAUGAACAAACAAUUCAAGAAUUUCUUGAACACCCUCGGACAACUUCACAUCAACAUUCCUUUUAUUGACGCUAUUCUACAAAUUCCAAAUUAUGCUAAGUUUUUUUAAUGAAAUGUUGACUAAGAAGAGAAAGCUGCCAGACCAUGAAACAUAGCAUUAUCUGAAAAAUGCAGCGCCAUCAUCCAACACAAAAUUCCUCCAAAACUUAAAGAUCCGGGGAGUUUCACUCUACCUUACUCUAUAGGAAAUUUAAAUAAUAUAAAUUGUUUAAUUGAUUCAGGAGCGAGUAUUAAUUUAAAUCCCUUACUUCUUUACAGGAAACUAGGAUUAGGAGAUCCUAAGGCGGCAUCAUUAUCCUUUAGCUGGCAGACCGAUCAUUGAAACACCCUUACAGAAUAGUCGAAGACAUUCUUAUCAAGGCGAGGGAGUUUAUUUUUCCAGCUGACUUCGUCAUCCUCGACAUUGAAGAGGCAUCUCAGAUGCCAAUAAUUCUGGGAAGGUCGUUCUUGUGUACAAAUCAAACUCUGCUAGAUUUUGAUGCUAAUGAAAUUAUCUUGAGGGUGGAGGAUAAGAAACAGAGCUUCACCAUGGAGAAUCCAAUCAAACAACCAUCAUACUUUGAGGAUGUCCAACGAGUUGAUCAUUAGAAAAGCUACAAAGGCAGACCAAAUGAAGGUGGAAUUGUUGGUAGGGGCAGCGAUGGAAACUUAAUUGUGUGGAGGAUGAAAGAUGUAAAAAGGAAGUGCAAUUAGUGCAUAAAAUGCAAAGCUGAAAAUUCUCUUUUCAAACCUCCAUGAAGAGCCAAAACAACAAAAUCUAGUUAAAGACUAUAAAUUAAGCGCUUAUUGGGAGGCAACCCAAUUUUAUUACCAUUUAUUUAUUUUCCUUUGAUGCAUUGCAUAUAUACUUGUUUUGAAUAUUAGUUUGCAUUAGAUUUAGGCAUGUUUAAAUUUAGAGGGUAUCUUCAUCCUAUCAUGUUUUCGCUUAGGCCUUUAAGUUCAAUGUUGGUUAUUUCGAGUGUUUGGGCUAAGUAACACAUGUUCUAUAUUAUUUGAUCUCUAAUGUUUGAUUUGAUUGUCAUAUGCAGGAACAUAACAUCGUGGAACACCUAAACCAAUAUAGAUCAAGGGAAAAACAUGAUGAGAAAGAUUGUCUAGCCGCCAUUCAUAGUUCCUUCCAAACUCACCAAAAAAAUUCGGGGAUUACUUUCGUCCUUUUCUUCCCCCAUCCCUUUACAUUCUUAAUAAUGUUUUACGAUAUUGAGGACAAUGUCGGGUUUAAGUUUGAGGGUAGAAAAAACUUUAAGUUUUUGGUUUUCGUAAUUUUUGUUUAUUUAAAAAAAAAUUUGUUUUGUGUGAUAAGGUAAAAAAAAAUCAUUAAAUUCUUUUUUUUAUUUAUUUGUUUAUUUUUGGUUGUGUGCUUGUGUGGGUUAGACGGUUUGACUGACAAUGAUGAUUGAAAUUGAAAUUUGGUUUGAUUUAUGAACUGUGAAUAGGAUGCAAGCCAGACUGAUUGAAGCUUGAACUUGCAAAACUUGAUAUUAUACAUGUACUAAAGCUGAGUUUGACAUUAUAAUAAAAUGAGUUGAUUCAUACAUGUGAUAGAUUGUUUUAGUUGGACAUAGAUGCUUUACCCAAAUCAUACUAAUUAUUUAUCCUUAGACCAAAUUUAUCACAAUUUGGGAAGACCUUACUGUUGUAGAAAGAUACAGAUGUGAAUGUAGAUUCCUUGUGUGAAAAAUAUGUAUGGAUUGUCUGAGAUUAACAUGAUAAAAUUGGGUGAAUGUCUUAAAUUGGAAGUCGGUUUGGUUGAAUAGGUGUGUGAUAAGGGGCAUAGCACUAAUCAAGGCAUAUAUUUUGAUAUUUAAAAAUUCUCUUUGAAGUUUUUAUGACUCGAGCAACUAAGCCUGCAAGGAUAUCUUAAAACCUAGUGCCCUAAAGUCAUCCGACUUAGGAGUUAUUGGCCAAUUGGUUGAAAAUAUACAAACAUUGAGGUUGUGAUAAGUCUAGUUUCUACACUUAUUUGGGAUCCUAAAUGAUGAUAUUUUGUUAUUCUUUGAACGGAUUAGUACCUGAUUUGCUAUUUAUUGCUUUAAUUAGGAAAAGUUCAUGUUUCAAAGAAGAAUUGGAAAAAAAAAAGGAAAAUGGCUAAAUGAAGCAAAUUCAAAGUAUGGGGGACCAAAGUGUAAAUAUUUAAUGCUUGAUUUGGACCACAAAAGAUAUUUUGAAGAUUGAUAGGAGUCAAUUGAAUGCAAAUUGGAGUAAAAAAGGAAAGGGAUAUGAUUAGAAUAUUACUAUAAAUCGAUUUCAAAUCAUAUAAGAUAUCUUCAAGUUUUUUGGUCAACUUGUGACUCAUUUUUCGGAUGGAGAACAUUUGAAUUGGAAAAAUUGUAUUUUUAGAAGAAUUGUAGCUCUUUUAACUAGCUUUUCAAUGCACUUUAAAUCACCUAAAUCGGACACUAAAAGAGAAAGUUAUGAUCAAAAUAUUGAAAGCUGUGUAGAGACAAAAUUACGUGCACUCGAAAACAACUUAUUUGAUUCAAACUCUUUUGGAAGACAAUUUGGACGUGAAUUUUGACCUAAUUUCAUCAUAUAAAUACAAGAUAUGGGUAGCAAUGAAAUGGUCUCUUUUGCCUCUUCAUAUACAAUAGUUUCUUCAAAUCUAUCAAAAACAAGGGGCCAAUUGCUAUAUUUUGAGAGAGAAUAUCAAGCCAUAGCAAGGAAUUGAAAUUCAAUUACAUCAAGUUUUGAAGAAUUCAACUUUGGACGUGAAGAUCAACAUCUUUUGUAUUUUUUCAUGAUCCGGAUGAUAUUUUUCUAUUAUUCUUCUUGUAAUUUAUAUAUCAAUAUGCUAUGCUAGUUUUUCAUUGUAUUGGAUGAAUGAUGAACCCUAUCGUUUGUUUAUUUUAAUUCAAGACAAUUAAUUUAGUAUUUCAUGAUUUUUUCUUGAUUGGUUUUGCAUUCCCAUUGAACUAUUUAAUUGUUUGGUCACCAAUUAGAUAGUAAGUUGUUUGUUGUAGUGUUGGAAUGCUCACAAUAAGUCUAGAACGCAGUAAAAUCAACAUAUGGACAAUAUGUGUUAAGAAUAAUAUCUAUGGCAUGUGCAACCAUGUGUGAUAAAUCCUAUGAAUCAAUGCAUGUUUUUCAUAUGAAUUCGGAUUAGGAAUAGGAUUAGGUCGUGUUAAACAUAGGUUUAAUAUAUCUUGAAAAAUAAUAUUAAAUAAAAGUGGAUUAUCGAUUGUCUUGAAUGCAUAAAUUAAGAGUUGAAUUAAAUGACAAUAGGGGGAUUCAUGAUUCCAAUACAAAUAUUCACAUUUUUUUGCAACAUUCUCUCCCUUAAACUUUCUAAAUGACCCUUUUAGCUAAAUUUAGGCCGAUGACUCCUAAGUCAGUUGACUUUAGGACACCAGAUUUUAACAUCCUUACAGGCUUAAUAACUCGAAUCAUAAAGACUACGAAGAGAAAUUUUCAAAUAAAAUAUAUAUGUAUAUUUUUUUUAACAUAUGUAAACAACGCAUGAAAACAUACGAAAAUAAAAAACACAAAGUGUUUCCCAUUUUUGUGUGUGUUUUAUUGUUUUAAAAAUUAAAAAAAUACAAAAAGAUAAAAGAAAAUGUUGCUUGGGCUGAUUUUCAUACAUACAACACAUACAAUUUGGCAGUGAAAAGGAGAUACAGGGAUAUACCGGCACUGGAGGCUGAUUUAUAUAUAUUUUUACACGCCAAUUAGGGAAGAAAUUGGAGAGUUGCUUGGGGGAAUAGAGGGCUGAAUUUAUAUAUCUUCUUGCUGAGAAAAAAGACGGCAAUUGGUGGAGUGAUACGGAGAAAAAAAAUGGCGGCUGAAAUCGGGCUGCCUUGCUGAGUUUAUAUAUAUUAACAUCACUGUACUGGAGAGAAAAGGCAGCUGAAAUUGAUAGAAAUUGGAGUCAAACAUUGAGGCUGCUAGGGGAUGAAUUUGGAAUCAUUUUGGAACUAAAAAGUGAGCGGCAGCUUGUAGAUACACACCGAGAACGGCGAUUGCAAUUUUGAUAAUAUAUAUAUUAAUCACGUUUCAUCAAUUUCUCGGUGAUGUCGUCUAAACUUUCUUUGUUUAAUUCCAAUUUUAUGCAAGGCUAAAUUCUUCUCAUGUAUUAGACGAAGAUGAAACCCAUUAUUAUUUAUUUUUAAUUCGAGUUACAUGACUUAGUUGAAUUCUUGCAAUUAUUGAUUAAUCUUGUAUGCUUAAUUUCAUUAUUUGAUUGAUUGAUCACCAAUUAAAUAUAUGGUUGCUUGUUGUUGUGUUGGAAAAUUUACAAUAGGUUUAGAACACUACACGAUUAACAUAUGUGCAAUAAAUUUUAGGAAUAAGAUUUAUUACGUUUGCAAUCUUUGAGAUAAUUGUGAAAUUGAAUGCGUUAUAUUCAUAUGAAUUCGGAUUAGGAAUAUGAUCGGGUCGUGAAUAGGAUGGAUUUAAUUUGUCUUGGAAAGGAAAAUUAAUUACAAUAGAACUACCGAUUGUCAAGAAUGCAAGAUCGAAACUAGCUACGUAGUCGAGAAUUGGAGUAGAUAAUUAUAGGUGGAUUCGUAAUCCAAUACAUUCUUCCCAUAUACAUUUUAAAUUCGUAUUUUACACGUUUUCGUAGAUUAAAUUAAAAUAAUUAAAAUUCACAAAAAUCACUUUUAAUUUAUUUGCUUUGGAUCUAAUUAAGACUAGUACACUCAGUUAAAUUUUAUUCCUCGUGGGACGGUACUCUAACUAAUCACAAUUAUUACUUGUACAACGAACCCGUACGCUUGCGGGAUUUUUACGAACAGAUGACUGAAUAAAACUUACACUUUUCUUAUUAUUACAGAAACAAACACCAAACACCACUUAUUUCUUAUUACACUACAAUCUAACGAAGCCUGAAAACCAACUAUGGUUAGAAAUAACAUUUAGUUGCAAACUUUUCUAUGGACUGAAACACCUAGGCUUUCACUCAUGUCCAAAUCCUCUCCUUUUGCUCCAUUAGGCAAUUCCCAAUCAAACGAAGCCUGAAAACCAACUAUAGUUGUAAACUUUUAUAUGGACUCAAACGCCUAGGCUUUGACUCAUGUCCAAAUCCUCUCCUUUUGCUCCAUUAGGCAAUUCCCAAUCAAAUUUCAGAAUAGUAUUUGUCAACACAAGUUCGUUAGUUGCCAUUGUGUAAGAGAUCCUUGGAUAACCUCUCCGACCAGCCCCAAAACGGAUCAACUGGAAAUCGAGUCCUUCGAUAUCUUUCUGUGAAUUCAAGAAUCUCUCUGGCCGAAGCUUUUUUGGUUCGUCCCCGUAAUUAGGGGCUCGGCAAAUGGCCCAUGCAUUGGUCAUGACCAUCGUCCCUGCUGCAAUGUCAUAGCCCAUUACAUUGACAUCUUUUCUUGCUUCCCGAGCGAUCACUAAUGGGAUUGGGGUUUGGAAUCAUAGAGUUUCCUUCACUGCACUUUCAAAUAAUGCAUUUUUUCUAAGUCAGCAUUUGUUAUGUCCUGAGAAUUCCCCUCACCUCAAUUUGCAACUUUUUCAUGACUCUUGGGUGCCUGAAGAGCUCUGUCAUUUCCCAUUCUAGAACUACGGAUAAAGGGAUCUGUUCCAGAGCAAAGACAUCCUAAAAUAAUCAAGAAUGUUGAAAAAUGUAAUAUUUAACAUAAAGUUCAUAGCUUUCAAGCAUUUGCACCAAUUUUUUUGGCAGCUAAUUAUAAACAAAUCAGUUCUUUAGUACUAUAAUAUUCUUUACGCGAAACAACACUUCAGUGAUUAAAUUAACUAAAAACCCACAAAAGAAGCAACCCAAUACAAUUUAAACUCACAAUAACUUCCAAUUUAGCGGGUGUUUGACACCCAUUUUUAGGGAAAAAUGAAUUUUAGAAUAGUAGAUUGACGGAGAAUAUUUGGAUGAAAAAUAAGGAGUUUUUUUUAUUUACGUGUAAUAUUAUUUUAAUGAAUAAUGUGUUGUUGAAAAAAAGAGAGAGAAAAAUGCAUUUUAAAAAAAAUGGGAAUAAAACGGGACUUUAAUAAGACCCAUCAAAUAUUACCCACGCCCGUAUGAUAAAAUUUUAUGUACAUGAAUAUAAAAGAAGGUAUAAAAUUACUUGCUGGGCCUUCAAAGUAGUUUUACAAAAGUGAAGAUACCAAGUGUGUUGACAAAAUGUAGGCCACUGAUUUGAAAUGAUUUAAAAAUUUGUUUUUGAAAUUAUUGGUGUUGAUGUUAUUUUGUAAACCAAUUUUGUAAGUGUAGCAUGACUCUAGAGAUUUUCCUAUUGGGAGUUUGACGGGGUUAUAGGGUCUGUUGUAUAGGCCUGAAGAAUGCCCAUUUUUUGAGAACUUGUAGAGAAGAAAAUCUGGGUUUUGCAGUUGAUGACGGUGAUAAUACAUUCAAACUUUCCAUGUAUGUAAAAUCUAUCCUGGAAAUGAAACUGGAAUUCACUAUAUGUGAGUCUCUGUGUGUGGAGAUUGUGAUGAAUUUUAAAAAUCAUUUCCUCGAUCAAGAUUUUAAUGGAAAAUUUAGGUGUCCCAAUUGAGAUUUUAAUUAAAUUCAAUGAAAUUUUUUAAAAUUUAGGUAUCCUCAAUUAUUAGUAAAUUUUUAAAGAUUUUAUAAAUAGAUCGAGGGAUUUUAAAAAAUUUUGAUGAUUUAAAACUUAAAAAUAAAUCUAAUCAAAUCUUUUGAAAUUUUACCAUAUUUAAUGAGAUUCUUAUGAAAUUUGUAGAAAUCUAUUUAAAUUAACAAAAUUAAUUAGGAUCAUAAAUUUUUAAACUUCAUCAGAAUCUUAGUUGAAGACACCCUGUUAUAGUUAAAGGGACAGAAUGGAGACUAUUUUUCUUCCGGCAACGAUAGGGUGGUGUCAAUGCAUUACAGUCGCAUUGGUCUAGAAAUUACGGAAAGGAAUCGAAGUUUGGGUAAAAACCAAUCGAGAAAAGGUUAGGACAAGAUCGCAAGUUUAGGCAAAGGUUAGAGACCGAAUUUGCAAUUUAUGCUAAACAAAACUUUUCUUGAAUUAUUGGGUCAUGAUUUAGCUGCACAUUGCUUCUUUUCUUUUUCUCCCUUUCUCUUCACUAUUUCACCGAGGGUUCAAACCCUUGGUUAAACUCUUACCUCUGCUAAUUUAUUAAAAAAAUUGUUGCAGGUGCGUUUCUAUGAAAAAAUUGUUUGCAUCCGAUGAAUAUGCUGAACACAAAAUGAAGCCCAUGUUUGGUUUGGCUAAAAAUCAAUUGUUUUAGUAGAAUUUUAUAAAGAUUGAUGAAAUUGGUGAUUGAAAAUCUGAUAAAAGUUGCGAGUAUAACAAAAUCUAUGAAUAAAAAUGAAUUAGACUAAAAAAAAACUGUCUCCUGCAUAGAUCAUGUAUUGAUAUAUACUAUAACUAUAAGAUACUCCCUUUUCGCGGAUUACUGCAUUUAUCCGAGUGAUUCACAAAUGACGAAAAUUUCUCUUUUGUUCAUCCAUAUCCGGAUGAGCCGAAACCAAAGCUCUUAUUUUCUAUUGAGUGGUAGUUCGAGCAAGUCUUGAAUAAGCCCCUUGAAAGCUUGAUGCUAAUAAACGAAUUUUUGUUCUCUGUCUCUAAGCUAUAUAUCCGCGUUUAAUUCUGGGCAUUAAUAAUGUUAAAAAUUUGGACCCAAACAAUAGCUAAAAACACAUGAUUCAUUAAGGUAAACAUGAGAUAAUCGGAGCCUCACAUCACUCAUUAAGUGCUGCCGACAGCCAGGAAUCACUAUUAUCAGGGUUGCUUUGCAAUGGCAUUCGACAAGUAGUUAAUUUUAUAACUGUAUACAUUUUUAUUUGCAUGAUAUAUAAGUCUAUUCCGACGAAUUAUAUAUUUCAUAAAUUUUAAAUGUAAUAUUAAGUAAUAAUGGAAUAAAAGUGAAUACAUUGUCCUAAUUGAAGAAUCAAGUAAACUAUAAUACAUCACGAUAAGAUACAAAUAUACAAUCCCAGCAUAAAAACGAUGGUUCCCCAAUUUAUUUUGUUGUGCGAGUGCGUGCGGGGUUGUGUAAAAAGCAUAAAGAAUUAUGAAUGUUUAGUUUAUGGUAGAAACUGUUAUUUCCAUCACGCUGCAUGAAACUCAUAUGGAUCAGAGAUAGCAUUGAGUCGCAACAGCAAAAAGAGGAACUUUUCUAUGGAUUGAAACACCUGGGCGUUCACUCAUAUCCAAAUAUCCGCCCUUUGCUCCAUUAGGCAAUUCCCAGUCAAAUUUCUGAACAAUAUUUGCCAGAAUGAGUUCGUUAGUUGCCAUUGCGAAUGAGAUUUCUGGACAACCCCUUCGACCAGCCCCAAACGGGAUCAACUGGAAAUCGAGUCCUUUAAAAUCUAUUGAUGAAUUUAAGAAUCUCUCCGGCUGAAACUUCUGUGGUUCUUUCCAGUAAAGAGGGUCUUGGCCAAUGGCCCAUACAUUGGUCAUGACCAUUGUACCUGCUGCAAUGUCAUAGCCCAUUACCUUGACAUCUUCUCUUGCUUCCCGAGGAACCAGCAGUGGGAUUGGGGUGUGAAAUCUUAGAGUUUCCUUCAGGACAGCUUUCAAAUAAUGCAUUUUCUCCAAGUCGGCAUCUGUUAUGUCAUGAUUGCCAUUGAGAACUCCCCUCACCUCAUUUUGCAACUUUUUCAUGACUAUUGGGUGCCUUAAGAGUUCUGUCAUUGCCCACUCUAGAACUGUGGAUGUGGUAUCAGUUCCAGCAGCAAACACAUCCUGAAAUAAUCAAGAAAGUUAAAAAACUUAAGGCUAAGAAAAUUAAUAGUCACCUAAACUUUCGGAUGAAGUGAUUCAAUCGAAGUAGACAAAAGUCUUGACUUCAAAGUCCAUUACCACCUAGGAAGCUAUGCUCGUGUCAAACCUCUAAGGGUCUUAAGCACGAGAAACUUCUAUGUAUAUGUUUCUUUCAAUGACAGUUUUAGCUUUUAAAUGAAGUUGUUCAAUUUUAUUACGAUUAUAUGCGAGGGAGGGGUGCUUACCAAAAUUAUGGCUUUGAUACCAUCUCUAUCAAUGGAUACACCAGUGGUAUUGUCCUGGUAAAUCUUAAGCAGAAUAUCUACAAAAUUCUCUUUACUUUCAUCCUUUCCGCUUGAAUUUUCCAUAUCCCAGUGUUCUUGAAUCACUCCUUCAAGAAACUCAUCUAGUUCUUUAGCAGCAAAAUUUACUCUGGCAUCGAAACCACUAACACGAUUAAUCCACGCCAGCCAUGGAAUGAAUUCCCCAACACUGAUAGUCCCCAAAAGUCCCAAAAAUUCAGUAAUCAGCUGCAGAAAUUUCUCCCCUGUCGCCCCGUCCCUGUAUUUCCUACCGAAAGCCGACCUACAAACGACGUCGUUUGUGAUUGCCGUAAACAAAUCACUCAUAUUCAAUGGCGAUGAAGAAAGACACGAUUCCUUAAUUUUUUCCAUCAUCAAGGCCGUUUCUUCUUCCCUUAUAGCAUGGAAUGAUUGUACCUGUUAUGGACAGAAAUGCACUGUUAGAAAAUCUUAUCAAGUCACUCCAAGCAAUUCUAAACUCUUUUAAGUUCUCUCAGUUUUUAUGCACUGUUGAGCAUCUUUGGCCUAGAAUAACGUCGUUUUUGCUUAUUUCCGGCAGUAUCAAGAGUGGUAUUGCUGAAAUAAACAGCUUCUUGUACAAAAGGAGCAAGGGUCAAUCAAGCUGGAAACGCUAGAGUCAGGCCUGUCAACGAAAAUGACAUCAUAGGUUUUCAUAAUUUCCCUGGCGGCGUCCGCCGAUGAAACGAUAAGCGUCGGAACAUUUCCAAAGUGGAGAAGCAUUAACGGGCCGUAUUUUUUGGACAUGGAUUGAAGGGACUGGUGUGGGAGCGUGGCGAUUUGGUGGAGAUUUCCGAUAAUCGGGAGUUUCGGCGGCGAUGGCGGCAGAUUUUUGCUGUUUGUAGUGGCCGCCACCCUUUUGACGAAUUGCCAUUCAAGAAAUAUACUGAUAAAAGUGAAUAUAAAUGGAUUUUGUAAAAGAAAUUCAGCCAUUUGGUGCUUAAAAC
rnacentral:lncRNA from 1 species